UACAUGGGGUGCAAACGUUGCUCGGAAUUAUUGGGCGUAAAGCGCGCGUAGGCGGUUACUUAAGUCGGAUGUGAAAGCCCUCGGCUUAACUGGGGAAGUGCACCCGAAACUGAGUAGCUAGAGUACGAAAGAGGGUCGCGGAAUUCCCGGUGUAGAGGUGAAAUUCGUAGAUAUCGGGAGGAACACCGGUGGCGAAGGCGGCGACCUGGGUCGAGACUGACGCUGAGGCGCGAAAGCGUGGGGAGCAAACAGG
rnacentral:rRNA from 1 species